GUCAUAUGCUUGUCUVAAAGAUUAAGCCAUGCAUGUCUCAGUACAAGCCAUAUUAAGGUGAAACCGCGAAAGGCUCAUUAAAUCAGUUAUGGUUCCUUAGAUCGUACCCACAAUUACUUGGAUAACUGUGGUAAUUCUAGAGCUAAUACAUGCAAACAGAGCUCCGACCGGAGACGGAAGGAGUGCUUUUAUUAGAUCAAAACCAAUCGGUGGCGGGUUCGCUCGUCAUCGUACAACUUGGUGACUCUGAAUAACUUUACGCUGAUCGCACGGUCAUCGCACCGGCGACGCAUCUUUCAAAUGUCUGCCUUAUCAACUGUCGAUGGUAGGUUCUGCGCCUACCAUGGUUGUAACGGGUAACGGGGAAUCAGGGUUCGAUUCCGGAGAGGGAGCCUGAGAAACGGCUACCACAUCCAAGGAAGGCAGCAGGCGCGCAAAUUACCCACUCCCGGCACGGGGAGGUAGUGACGAAAAAUAACGAUACGGGACUCAUCCGAGGCCCCGUAAUCGGAAUGAGUACACUCUAAACCCUUUAACGAGGAUCAAUUGGAGGGCAAGUCUGGUGCCAGCAGCC
rnacentral:rRNA from 1 species